rnacentral:rRNA from 1 species
GAUGAACGCUGGCGGCGUGCCUAAUACAUGCAAGUCGAGCGAACAGACGAGGAGCUUGCUCCUCUGACGUUAGCGGCGGACGGGUGAGUAACACGUGGAUAACCUCCCUAUAAGACUGGGAUAACUUCGGGAAACCGGAGCUAAUACCGGAUAAUCUAUUGAACCGCAUGGUUCAAUAGUGAAAGACGGUUUUGCUGUCACUUAUAGAUGGAUCCGCGCUGUAUUAGCUAGUUGGUAAGGUAACGGCUUACCAAGGCAACGAGGCGUAGCCGACCGGAGAGGGUGAUCGGCGACAUUGGAGGGGGAACGGCGACCAGACGACUGAGGGACGGAGCAGUAGGGUAUGUGACGCAGCGGGCGAGAGCCUGACGGAGUAGGGGCACGUGUGUGACGAAGGUGUCGGGAGCGGGAAGCCCGGUUAUUAGGGAAGAACCAAUGUGUAGGGAAAUGUGGCGGGCUUGACGGUACUUGGUCAGAAAGCCACGGCUAACUACGUG